AGCGAACGCUGGCGGCAGGCCUAACACAUGCAAGUCGAACGGACCUUUCGGGGUUAGUGGCGGACGGGUGAGUAACACGUGGGAACGUGCCUUUGGUUCGGAAUAGCUCCUGGAAACGGGUGGUAAUGCCGAAUGUGCCCUUCGGGGGAAAGAUUUAUCGCCUUUAGAGCGGCCCGCGUCUGAUUAGCUAGUUGGUUGAGGUAACGGCUCACCAAGGCGACGAUCAGUAGCUGGUCUGAGAGGAUGGCCAGCCACAUUGGGACUGAGACACGGCCCAAACUCCUACGGGAGGCAGCAGUGGGGAAUCUUGCGCAAUGGGCGAAAGCCUGACGCAGCCAUGCCGCGUGAAUGAUGAAGGUCUUAGGAUUGUAAAAUUCUUUCACCGGGGACGAUAAUGACGGUACCCGGAGAAGAAGCCCCGGCUAACUUCGUG
rnacentral:rRNA from 1 species